GACGAACGCUGGCGGCGUGCCUAAUACAUGCAAGUAGAACGCUGAAGGAGGAGCUUGCUUCUCUGGAUGAGUUGCGAACGGGUGAGUAACGCGUAGGUAACCUGCCUGGUAGCGGGGGAUAACUAUUGGAAACGAUAGCUAAUACCGCAUAAUAGUAGAUGUUGCAUGACAUUUACUUAAAAGGUGCAAUUGCAUCACUACCAGAUGGACCUGCGUUGUAUUAGCUAGUUGGUGGGGUAACGGCUCACCAAGGCGACGAUACAUAGCCGACCUGAGAGGGUGAUCGGCCACACUGGGACUGAGACACGGCCCAGACUCCUACGGGAGGCAGCAGUAGGGAAUCUUCGGCAAUGGACGAAAGUCUGACCGAGCAACGCCGCGUGAGUGAAGAAGGUUUUCGGAUCGUAAAGCUCUGUUGUAAGAGAAGAACGAGUGUGAGAGUGGAAAGUUCACACUGUGACGGUAUCUUACCAGAAAGGGACGGCUAACUACGUG
rnacentral:rRNA from 1 species